rnacentral:rRNA from 1 species
AGUGAACGCUGGCGGUAGGCCUAACACAUGCAAGUCGAACGGCAGCACAGGAGAGCUUGCUCUCUGGGUGGCGAGUGGCGGACGGGUGAGGAAUACAUCGGAAUCUACUCUGUCGUGGGGGAUAGCGUAGGGAAACUUACGCUAACACCGCAUACGACCUACGGGUGAAAGCAGGGGAUCUUCGGACCUUGCGCGAUUGAAUGAGCCGAUGUCGGAUUAGCUAGUUGGCGGGGUAAAGGCCCACCAAGGCGACGAUCCGUAGCUGGUCUGAGAGGACGAUCAGCCACACUGGAACUGAGACACGGUCCAGACUCCUACGGGAGGCAGCAGUGGGGAAUAUUGGACAAUGGGCGCAAGCCUGAUCCAGCCAUACCGCGUGGGUGAAGAAGGCCUUCGGGUUGUAAAGCCCUUUUGUUGGGAAAGAAAUCCAGCUGGCUAAUACCCGGUUGGGAUGACGGUACCCAAAGAAUAAGCACCGGCUAACUUCGUGCCAGCCGCCGCAGUAA